UUCCCGCGAUAAUAAGCUUUGGGAGCAACUCAGUGCUCUGAAACGGAGCCACGUCUGCCCGAGUUAACGACUCGUAGCAGAACUCACCUCGAAUGAAUCACUCUCCGACGAACGCCCUCUCCUCCACACGCUUCUCCAACGCAGUGUCAGAUGAAUGUAGAAGUGGAGUGAAUUGAAAGGGGACGAGUUUCAGUGGCGAAACUAAAAGGAUGUUGAGCGCUCUGCUUGUAAUUGACGAAUGGAUCAUAUCUUUCUCUUCCCUUACGAACUCAAUGACUCGGGUAAGCAGCAGUUAUGGACUAAUACACAUGAAUAAUGGUGAUACUUAUAUUUUUGACCCUUUACACUGUAGGAUCAAGCGCUUACCACUGAGCUAAAAGCAAUUGCUGUUAGUGAGGGUGCAACUUUAUUUCCUUAUAGUAUGAGCUUUUUCAGGGGCUGCACCUAAAGCGAAGUUUGUAAGCUCCCUCUAAGCGCCAUGGGUUGGGAUGUUAAGCCCAUUCGAAUCCCUAAGGGUGACGCUGGAUUUAUUUAUCCAACAUACACUUCUAUGUUCUGCUUACAUGUGUAUAGGUUAUAUAGCUCAAGCUUUGCAUUUUUAAAUAACGUUUUUUUAGUCACUUCUAUUCUUGGUCUGCAACACAAGUCUCUCAUAUAUAAUUAAUUAAUAUAGGAACUUCAGAUAUAGAAACAGAUAUUCUUUGAAAGAGCUAUUAAAAGCCCGGGUUUCUAUCA